rnacentral:lncRNA from 1 species
GAGUGCAAUGGCGCGAUCUCGGCUCACUGCAACCUCCACCUCCUGGGUUCAAGUGAUUCUCCUACCUCAGCCUCCUGAGUAGCUGUGAUUAUAGGUGUGCACCACCAUGCCUGGCUAAUUUUUGUAUUUUUAGUAGAGACGGGGUUUCACCAUGUUGGCCAGGCUGGUUUCGAACUCCUGACCUUAGAUGAUCCACGUGCCUCGACCUCCUAAAGUGCUGGGAUUACAGGCGUGAGCCACUGUGCCUGGCCCACGCCAGGCACAGUGAUAUUUAAAAAUGUGAUUUUUAAAUAUCACAUUUAAAAAUAUGUGAUAUUUUUAAAGAAUAUGAUAGCCCAGGCGCAGUGGCUUACGCCUGUAAUCUCAGCACUUUGGGACGAUCACUUGAGCCCAGGAGUUUGAAACAGGCUGCAGUCAGCUAUGAUCACGCCACUGCACUCCAGCCUAGGUGACAGAGACCCUGACUCUUAAAAAAAGUUGUGCUAGAAGACUUCAAGAUCUCCCCUAAAACUGUAUAGUCCUUUCCCUGGUGUUUUUGCUGAGCUAUAGAGUCCAGCCCUUUCUGUUACAGCAAUGAACCAUGAGAUUCAAAUACUGCUUUUUACUAAGUACUUACAGACUAAUGACAUAGGAGACCUCAUAGGCACCUGGCUGUUUUUAACCAGGCAGGCCUAAAUACACUGCCCAAGUGGCCCUUCUGUGUGGCAACAAAAUGGCUGUCAUAAAAUUGUGUCUGUGUGCAUUUAUCUUAUCACUGGGGGUGGUGAACAUUUGAGAAGGCACUUGACCUUUGAAAUGUGAAGUUUUAUGGAUUUCA